UCUUUCUUCUUCUUCUUCUUCUUCUUCUUCUUCGAUGUUCCUCUUCUCCUUCUUUCUGUGGAUCUCAGUUCAGAAGAACUGAGUUAUUCUUGUGCGAGUUUUUCAUAGAAAGUUAGUUAGCUAGAUGAAUGAAGAAGAUGGUAUGAGGUUGAAGUUGAUUUAGUUGCGGGAGAAGAAUGAACUGAUGCUGCUGAGGAUUGAUAGUUAGAGUUUGGUUUUGAGGAUGAAGAAUUAAGAAGAACUGAGUAUGAUCGAGGAGUAGAUGAUGGUGGUGAUGUUGAUUCAAGUAGUUGAUUCAGAUUUACAAGAAAAAGGUAAAUUAGGGUUCAUUAAUUUGAAAGUUAAAUUGUUUCGAAUUGAUUGAUGUAUCUUUAUGAAAUUACGUUACAGUGAUUGAUUAUAAGUGGGUUUGGUCUUAAUUUAAGGUAGAGAUGAGUAUAUUGUGUUUAAUUUUGGUUUCAUAUAGAAUUAGGGUUUUCCCCUGUUCUUCCCCAAAUCCAGAAGUUAGGGUUUCUUGUGAUUUAGGGUGUCUGAUUUGGAAUUAGUAGAUCAGAAGGAUGAAUUGGUGAAUUGGGAUUGUUGUUGGUGUUUUAAAAUUAGGGUCCUGUUAUCUGAAGAUGGAGAUGAACUGGAUAUUGGCUAGCCAGAUAAGAUGGUUGUGGGUUAAUUGUUGUUGAUGAGCUAUAACUGUUGGAGGAGAUACAAUUAUGUUGUUAGGGAUGCAAUUACAGAUGACAUGAAGUUGAAGUUGUAAGUGGUGGUGUUUGCAGUCAUGGAGUGAACUGGUGGUGAAGGGACUGGAUACGGAGAAGUAUUGGUGAUGUUGUUGAUGCUGUUAUGAAGAUAUGAAGAGUGGCUGCAUAUUGAGUUACAGUUUCAAUAUAGGUGCAAAGAAGAAUUAGAAGAUGAAGAUGAUGAUUUAUGAAGAUUCUGUUAAGAUGCUAUGGCAGAUAGUUUUGGAGCUGUAAUGGGUGUUGCAGGGCGUUGGGUUGUAACUGUAGUAUGAAGUAACACUGACCGCGGUGGGGGAGAUAGUGGAAUUGAAUUAUAAAGGGAUUGAUGUUGAACUGGUUAUGAAAAAGGAGAUGACUGUUUAGUUUGUAUGUGAAAUUGAGAAGUUAUAGUUGGAGGUUACCUUGAGUACAAACGGUGAUCAGUGAUGAAGACAUAGGUUAUAGUCAUUGUGAUGGUGUUUGGUGAAGUUGAUAGACUUUGUAUAAUAUGAACUGGUGUCACAGGAUUGUUGAAAUGUUGUUAUAGAAGGGAUGAGUAUUGCAGGUGAUGAUGGAGUUGGCUAUGUAUUGAGUUUGCAAGCGUUGUGCAUAGGAAUUAUAGUUAGAAAUGGAAAUAUAUUGAUUGAAUUGAAUCAAUGAAGUUAGUCUAUAUUAACAAAGAUCGAUUCAAAAGAUGAACUAGUGGAUUCUGGAUUUCAAGGUAGGAGUGAUUUGCCUUCAAAACAGGUGGGAACUAUGUAACCUUCUUGUAAUCAUUAAAUUCUUCUUUAAUUGCAAGCAUGAUGAGACUUUACUAUUUGUGUGCAUGAUUGCGUGUACUUGAUGUAUUACUUCUGUGUUACUUUUGUAUGCAAUGUAUGUUAUAUCUGCAUGUACGAUGAUUGCUACAAUGUAUUUGUCUGUGAUAUACACUGUGAGAUUUUCCCCGCGAGGAGUGUCUGUGUUUCCCCACGACUCUUAGCUAAGUUAAGUAUGCCGGUUCGCCAUCCGGUUGAAUAUUAUCUAGUAGGGCGGUACGCCAUCCGUGUGUAAUAUUAUUAUAACUCUUUCAUUUAGUAGAUCAGUACGCCAUCCGUUGUUAUAUUAUCGCUUAUUAAGAAAGUAGGGCGGUACGCCAUCCGUCGACAAUAGUAUCUAGUAGGGCGGUACGCCAUCCGUCUUGAUAUUGUAUAUACUAUUUUAUUUAUGCGAAAUCACUCUUAUGCAUAAUAUGCUUGAUUCUUUCUGAUCUUGAUAGUAGUAUUCCAAAUCAUGGUUUGUAUGGGCACUCUGUGUAGAGGAUGUUAUUAUUAUUGAUUAGGGUUGCUCUCGCGUCAUCUUCUCCAAAGAGUUUGGCGAGGUUAGAGUGACACUUGCUUCAUGAUGCAUAAAUAGAUGAAUGAUUUAUUUCUUCUUGGUUUUCUGUCAAUCUAUAACCAUUUAGAACUGUGUAGCAUGUUAGUGAUUACUUGAGAGUUAUUUGUUCCAUUGGGCACCCGUUUGGGAUGAUGUUCUCACGUGUUACCACUUCAGUAUUUUUCAGUAGUCGGAAGAUACGGAGCGUUUGAAGAUAUUCGUUUCGUAGAUUAGAGCUUUAUCGAAUCUAGAGUGUUGUGUAUCUUUUAUUACGUGUAUUCUUUCUUAUUUUUUAAACAACACAUUAAGAUAUUUAUAUCACUGGAGAGAACUUCAUUUGCACGGUAUUCAGAGAGUUUGAGUUUGAUUUUUAGCAUUUUAUGUAAUUAGGUUUCUUCAAAUUGGUAUUAUAGUUUGAUACUCCAAUUAGAUUGCAAUCCUAUUAGCUAAGCAGGUUUAAGAGCUGGGACGUUAUAAUCUGAUGCUGAUCCUAAGGACGUUGCUGGUUGGGAACAUUCCAAUGACUUUGUUAGCAGCUGGCUUCUUCACUCCGUUGCCCCUGACAUUCGCAACAACAUUCUUUAUGCAGCCACUGCUCAUGAAAUAUGGAAAGAUUUGCGUACUCGUUUUUUCCAUUCGUCGGCGCGAAAGAUUUUUCAACUCAAGCGUGGUAUCUCGCACCUCAAACAAGAAGGUUUGACUGUAUCUUCUUAUUUUACUCAGUUAAAAUCAUUAUAGGAUGAACUGCAAUCCCUUGUUGUUAUCUCUCCAUGUAUUUGUGGAAAUUCCAAAGCCACAUUGGAACGUCUCCAGCAAGAUCAGGGGAUGGAAUUCUUGCAGGGUCUUCAUGACCGUUUUGCUGCCAUCCGCAACCAAAUAUUAUUGAUGGAACCUUUUCCUAAUACCUCUAAAUUUUAUUCUCUUGUGCGCCAAGAAGAGCAACAACAAGAGCUCAAUCACUCCACUGUUCCUAUAAUGGAUUUUUCUGCUUUGAAUGUAUCUCGAAAUGACGGUCGUCAGCCCUCUCGUACCGUCCAGAAUCAUAAGCGCCCUCGUCCAGUUUGCAACCACUGUGGUCGUGUAGGCUAUACUCAACAAACUUGUUACAAGCUUCAUGGUUAUCCAACCAAGACCAAAGAUAGAACUUCUCUUGCUUCAUCAUCAAACGGACCUAACUUGCAAGUGUCAAUCCCUGGUAUAACAAAAGAUCAGUAUGCUAAGCUUUUAUCCCUUCUUGUGGAUUCUCCAACGGAUGUUUCAUCUGUUCCAACUGCCAAUCACGUAGGACCCUUCGACGAAAUAGGAGAUUGGUCGGGGUAAAGCCAAAAAUGGCCUCUAUUUUUUAUGAUCAGCAACUAGUACUGUUGUUUCUUCUUUAGUUUUAGAAAAUUUCGAUCUUAUGGCAUUGGCGUUUAGGCCACCCAUCAGAUCCUAGAUUUAAAUAUUUAUGUAAGACUUAUUCUUAUAUUAAGUCGUCUAUGAAUUGUUCUUGCAAUGUAUGCUCUAGAGUAAAAUAAUCUCGCUUGAAAUUUAAUGAAAGUACUAGUUCUACUA